GAGAAGUGACGCCUUUACCCACAAUCCCACAGGGGACGAUGUGACUGAACCAGCUGAGAUCAGUGUUACAGUUCAGCGCCAGCCCAUGUGAUGUGAUGUAUCUGGCGCAGUGAACUCCUGCAGCAACACAAGUACAGGGCAUCUACACUGCGUCUGUUGGUGCAGGACAGAUCUGCUGUCGGGUUUAGAGUUGAUGGUAGUGCCAGGGAUCAGCUGUAUGAGUUGUAUCAGUAGGCUCAGCAGGGCUUGAUUCAGAGAUGGAGGCACCAGUGCAACUAUUCAGACGUGCAAGGAGCACAUGUUGGCUCAAGAACAUUUAAUAAUACGGAUUUUCACUCAACUGCCGAAUGUGUGAACUUUUUGAAAGACUUGAUAAACAAGGUGGAACCUCAGUAGAGAAGAUGGGACAUGAGAGAAGGGGGAUGAAAGAAAGGAGGGUAAAUAAUGUGGGAAAUGUGGAAAGAGAAAGAUGAAAGAGAAACAAGAAGGAAAUGGCCAAGAAGAGUUUGAGAUGAGAAUAAAGAGGGAGAAGCACACAGGAGACCAGAGUCUUGGGGGGGGGGGGGUUGUAUAUAACAGUGUCAGUUGAUAACUUGAAAGACCUGUGGAACCUUCUGGUCAACCCUUGUGUGAACUAUAACAGCGGCUCAUUCACAGUAAAACAGGGCAAGCAAGUGGCACCCAAUAGAGAUCAGCCAACUGAUAGGGCCUGCCAACUGCGUCAUCCACAACCCAAGCCACAAAUACAUAGACCAGACUUAAUAUAACAGAAAUAAACAAAUACUGAGUAAAAACAGAUUAUUCAAACGAUAAUAUAAGGUCAAAUACCUGGGGGGUGUUCUAAUAACAACUAUAUUAAAAUGAACUCACUCUACUCAAAGACUUAAGCCCCAGAUAGAACAGUAUUAAUAACGGCCACUCACCAAUUCAUAUAACAUGGCAAUAUUUAUUCCAAAUGUAACAAUUAAAAUCACCCGAAAAUAAAUUUGGUAUCAGUAAGAGGAGGGGCCUCUUCUUAACAAUAGUAGCCAUAAAUUAGCUCAGAUUCUCAUAAUAUUCGACCACAAAAAAAUGAAAGUAUACGUAUAAUAAAUGAGGUUAUGCUCCAAUAGUACAAAAGUUGAGAUCCUAUGGAAGUAUGGAAUAAGUCUGAGCAACUAUUUUCAUUAGUAUUAAAGUGCUUUAAUUGAGAUUAAGACUACUAAAUUAUAAAUGUAUCCAUCGAGAUCCGGUAGUGGAAAUGCAGUCAUUCAGUUCGAUGCACAAUGAUGAACUUCAGCAGUACGAUUCUAAAUUCAGUAGCGUAUAUUUCAUGGCAAUAGGAUACACUCGGGCUACACAGUAUCUUCAAAUACAGUUGUGUUCAGAAUACUCUCCGACAUCACUUACCUGAUCAAUUGCUGUUUUUGGUAGAAAUUAUAUUUCUACAUGGCAAAUCAUUUACUAGUAGGUGUAGUAGAGUAAUAGAAACCAACAGUCCCGACAUGCUGCUGAUUCUGUGUCAUUGAAUCAUUCAUUGUUCCAAAUAAUAGCAGUGUUCCACAUAAUAACACACUUGAUAAAGAGUUGUUAUACCCAAAAAGUAUUGUCAAUAAAUGCACAUUGCAGUUAUUGUG